GACAAACGCUGGCGGCGUGCCUAACACAUGCAAGUCGAACGGGACUCAGCUGAUGGUAACUGAAGCUGAGUUUAGUGGCGGACGGGUGAGUAACGCGUGAGUAACCUGCCUUUCAGUGGGGGACAACAGAGGGAAACUUCUGCUAAUACCGCAUGAUACAGCGAGAUCGCAUGGUCUUGCUGUCAAAGAUUUAUCGCUGAAAGAUGGACUCGCGUAUGAUUAGAUAGUUGGUGAGGUAACGGCCCACCAAGUCGACGAUCAUUAGCCGGACUGAGAGGUUGAACGGCCACAUUGGGACUGAGACACGGCCCAGACUCCUACGGGAGGCAGCAGUGAGGAAUAUUGGGCAAUGGGCGCAAGCCUGACCCAGCAACGCCGCGUGAAGGAAGACGGUCUUCGGAUUGUAAACUUCUUUUGUAUGGAAGCAAUAAGGUGCACGUGUGCAUCGAUGAGAGUACCAUACGAAUAAG
rnacentral:rRNA from 1 species